UUGAAGAUUUUAAAAGUGUUCUUCUGCAUCUUUUGAAGUAGAUAUGGCGCAGCGCCCUCCACAUACACCAUAUCCGUUUCCACUCAUUUUACCAUGCCAACCAUUUCUUUUUUCGCCCCCUCGACUGCCCCUCCACGUCGUGGCCACUCUUGAGUGAUGGUGUGCUUGUAUAACAUGAUACUAUGCCUUCAAUGGGACAGCCAUAGCGGACGUUUUACAAUCCACGGGCUUUGGCCCCAUCCUCCUAAUAUGCAUACAUAACCUGUUCUUUUAAUGUGGAGACAAGUAUUUUACCUGGAGACCCACUUCGUCUGCUUUUGAUUCAACAUUGGCUGAAUUUUUUAGGACCCGACAAUGUUUCAUUUUGUCAGUCCGAGUGGAAUAGACAUG